rnacentral:rRNA from 1 species
UACGUAGGGGGCAAGCGUUGUCCGGAUUUAUUGGGCGUAAAGAGCGUGUAGGCGGCUAGAUAGGUCCGUUGUGAAAACUCGAGGCUCAACCUCGAGACGUCGAUGGAAACCGUCUGGCUAGAGUCCGGAAGAGGAGAGUGGAAUUCCUGGUGUAGCGGUGAAAUGCGCAGAUAUCAGGAAGAACACCCGUGGCGAAAGCGGCUCUCUGGGACGGUACUGACGCUGAGACGCGAAAGCGUGGGGAGCGAACAGG